ACGAACGCUGGCGGCGUGCUUAACACAUGCAAGUCGAACGGAAAGGCCUCUUUCGGGGGGUACUCGAGUGGCGAACGGGUGAGUAACACGUGAGUAACCUGCCCUUGACUUUGGGAUAACUUCAGGAAACUGGGGCUAAUACCGGAUAGGAGCUCCUGCUGCAUGGUGGGGGUUGGAAAGUUUCGGCGGUUGGGGAUGGACUCGCGGCUUAUCAGCUUGUUGGUGGGGUAGUGGCUUACCAAGGCUUUGACGGGUAGCCGGCCUGAGAGGGUGACCGGCCACAUUGGGACUGAGAUACGGCCCAGACUCCUACGGGAGGCAGCAGUGGGGAAUAUUGCACAAUGGGUGGAAGCCUGAUGCAGCAACGCCGUGUGCGGGAUGACGGCCUUCGGGUUGUAAACCGCAUUCGCUCAUGACGAAGCUUUGUGUGACGGUAGUGGGUAAAGAAGCACCGGCUAACUACGUG
rnacentral:rRNA from 1 species